rfam:Gorilla gorilla gorilla genomic chromosome, chr9, whole genome shotgun sequence
GCUGGGUGUGGUGGCGGGUGCCUGUAAUCCCAGCUACUCGGGAGGCUGAGGCAGGAGAAUCGCUUGAACCCAGGAGGUGGGGGUUGCAGUGAGCCAAGAUCGUGCCACUGCACUCCAGCCUGGGUGACAAAGCGAGACUCCGUCUCAA